AACGAACGCUGGCGGCAUGCCUAAUACAUGCAAGUCGAACGAGAUCUUCGGAUCUAGUGGCGCACGGGUGCGUAACGCGUGGGAAUCUACCCUUAGGUUCGGAAUAACAUAGGGAAACUGAUGCUAAUACCGGAUGAUGACGUAAGUCCAAAGAUUUAUCGCCUGAGGAUGAGCCCGCGUAGGAUUAGCUAGUGGGUAGGGUAAAGGCUUACCAAGGCGACGAUCAUUAGCUGGUCUGAGAGGAUGAUCAGCCACACUGCGACUGAGACACGGCCCAGACUCCUACGGGAGGCAGCAGUAGGGAAUAUUGGACAAUGGGGGCAACCCUGAUCCAGCAAUGCCGCGUGAGUGAUGAAGGCCUUAGGGUUGUAAAGCUCUUUUACCCGGGAUGAUAAUGACAGUACCGGGAGAAUAAGCCCCGGCUAACUCCGUGCCAGCCGCCGCAGUAA
rnacentral:rRNA from 1 species